UACGUAGGGAGCUAGCGUUGUCCGGAAUCAUUGGGCGUAAAGGGCGCGUAGGCGGUCAGCACAAGUCAGUUGUGAAAUCCUGCCGGACUUACGUACGGAAGUCAACUGAUACUGUGCGACUAGAGUGCAGAAGGGGCAACUGGAAUUCUCGGUGUAGCGGUGAAAUGCGUAGAUAUCGGGAGGAACACCAGUGGCGAAGGCGACUUCCUGGCCUGUUCUUGACGCUGAGGCGCGAAAGCUAGGGUAGCAAACGGG
rnacentral:rRNA from 1 species